rnacentral:rRNA from 1 species
UACGAAGGUCCCAAGCGUUAUCCGGAUUUAUUGGGUUUAAAGGGUGCGUAGGCGGGUUAUUAAGUCAGUGGUGAAAGCCUGCAGCUUAACUGCAGAAUUGCCAUUGAUACUGAUGAUCUUAAGUAUGAUUGAGGUGGGCGGAAUGUGUCAUGUAGCGGUGAAAUGCUUAGAUAUGACACAGAACACCGAUUGCGAAGGCAGCUCACUAAGCCAUAACUGACGCUGAUGCACGAAAGCGUGGGGAGCAAACAGG